rnacentral:rRNA from 1 species
GACGAACGCUGGCGGCGUGCCUAAUACAUGCAAGUAGAACGCUGAAGGAGGAGCUUGCUUCUCUGGAUGAGUUGCGAACGGGUGAGUAACGCGUAGGUAACCUGCCUCGUAGCGGGGGAUAACUAUUGGAAACGAUAGCUAAUACCGCAUAAUAGUAGAUGUCGCAUGACAUUUGCUUAAAAGGUGCAAUUGCAUCACUACCAGAUGGACCUGCGUUGUAUUAGCUAGUUGGUGAGGUAACGGCUCACCAAGGCAACGAUACAUAGCCGACCUGAGAGGGUGAUCGGCCACACUGGGACUGAGACACGGCCCAGACUCCUACGGGAGGCAGCAGGAGGGAAUCUUCGGCAAUAGACGGAAGGCUGACCGAGCAAAGCCGCGGGAGUGAAGAAGGGUGUCGGAUCGGAAAGCUCUGUUGUAAGAGAAGAAAGAGUGUGAGAGUGGAAAGUUCACACUGUGACGGUAUCUUAACAGAAAGGGACGGCUAACUACGUG